rnacentral:tRNA from 13 species
UCCCGUGAGGUCUAGCGGUCAGGAUUCCUAGCUCUCACCCAGGCGGCCCGGGUUCGACUCCAGGCAUUGGAA